rnacentral:rRNA from 1 species
UACGGGGGGAGCAAGCGUUGUUCGGAUUUACUGGGCGUAAAGGGCGCGUAGGCGGCCAGCACAAGUCAGUUGUGAAAUCUCCGAGCUUAACUCGGAAAGGUCAACUGAUACUGUUGUGCUAGAGUGCGGAAGGGGCUACUGGAAUUCUCGGUGUAGCGGUGAAAUGCGUAGAUAUCGAGAGGAACACCUGCGGCGAAGGCGGGUAGCUGGGCCGACACUGACGCUGAGGCGCGAAAGCCAGGGGAGCGAACGGG